GCCACCGUGGGCACGGUGGCGGUGGCGGCGUCCGGCGACGCGGCCGGCGAGACUUCAAGGGACGAAUGCUCUCCUCUUCGUGCGGAACACGGAAAUGAAAUUGAUUUUAAAUCGGCUUAUAAAAUACAAAAUGCGAGGACAAAAGCUGGAAGCAUGUGGCUAAAAAAGGCAGUCCUUUUAAAGGACAAUAAAGAACUGU